AGUGAACGCUGGCGGUAGGCCUAACACAUGCAAGUCGAACGGCAGCACAGUAAGAGCUUGCGCUUACGGGUGGCGAGUGGCGGACGGGUGAGGUAUACAUCGGAAUCUACUUUUUCGUGGGGGAUAACGUAGGGAAACUUACGCUAAUAACGCAUACGACCUACGGGUGAAAGCAGGGGAUCUUCGGACCUUGCGCGAUUGAAUGAGCCGAUGUCGGAUUAGCUAGUUGGCGGGGUAAAGGCCCACCAAGGCGACGAUCCGUAGCUGGUCUGAGAGGAUGAUUCGACACACUGGAACUGAGACACGGCCACCACUCCUACGGGAGGCAGCGGUGGGGACUAUUGGACAAUGGGCGCAAGCCUGAUCCAGCCAUACCGCGUGGGUGCAGAAGGCCUUCGGGUUGUAAAGCCCUUUUGUUGGGAAGGAAAUGCAGCACGUUAAUACCCCGCUGUUCUGACGGUACCCAAAGAAUAAGCACCGGCUAACUUCGUG
rnacentral:rRNA from 1 species